AGUCCCAGACCGAUCUCUGAAUGAAGCGGUGUUCGGCAAUCUAGUCAAAAAUAGACACCAUUACAAAGUGGUUAACUCUUGGUGCCAUCCAACACACAUUGUGCACAGAUAGACCUUUUCAACCGACAGUGUUGCACUUUGUUUUUCCGCCCACACAAAUCAAAGAAUUUCCAUCGCGUGCCUCACUGAAGGCAGAUUUUUUUUGUUAAAUUAACAAAUUUUUCCGCUAAAAUCGCGAAUUGUGCUAAAAUGUAAAAAUAUACGAGAAAAGAGAUGAAAAUUAGCCCAAGUGUGGUCUGAUGAGUGUUUUGCCGGUGUGAGGGACGUUUUGAUGAGAAACACUCUCGGAAAAUGAAUGAAGAGUAAAUUGGCAUUUUGUAUUUAUAAACUCCACGCGAGAAAUUUGUUUUUUUUUUCUUUACAAAAAAAGAUCUAAAUUCCACGUUGAAGAUUGAUUGAAAAUUUGCGCGGAAUAUUGCAAGAAGCACUGUGGCUGUUUUUUUUUACAACUCAACCAUGCUUGUUAUUCGCGCGCCGGAAUAUUAUUUUUAAACCAAACCGUAAAAAGAAGCGUUGGACGAUCAAGAAGUGUCAGUUUUCAAAAAUAACAUGAGUAAUAAUACACAAUUCGCACACUUUUCCCACCCUCCCCCUACAUCUGCAUUUUCUCGUUUUUUUUUCCUCCUCGACUCACUCGUCAAUUUAUUGGGCAAUGAAAAUGCACGAAAAUCCGCGGCAUAUGGCGUGAUUUGUCGAAGAAGAAAAAAUAAUAUGAAAUUGAAGUGAAGUGAUUUUUUUUCUUGCCACACACACACUCUGGUAGCAGCUGAUAAGAGACGCUCACGGCGAAAAAACAUUCAAACAGCCCCGAGAGAGAUAAGAAAAUCUCCCCGUGUGCGGGGUGACGGAAGGUGGGGUGGAAGAGCAUAAUAAAACAAAUGAGAACACGGCAGAAUCGAACAAUCAUUUGGUCAGCAAAGUGGCAGUGUAAAUUGCGUCCUUAAUGGAAAAAAUGUCGGAGGGUGAGUACAUUCAAUGUGGAUUUUUAUCUUUGUCCUGCCAAUUAAUGGGGGUGGAGGGUGAAAGACAAUAAAUUAAUUCUGCAAUGCGGGAAAUUUUGCACCCUCUCCGUAGAAGGGAGCUUGCGAUUUUUUUUGUCUUUUCUCAGCGCGUAUCCCUUUCAAUCCUUUUUUUGCUUUUGUAUUCACCCACAUCGUGAUGCUUAUUUUUGUGACAAUGUCGUGGAACACUCAACACAAUAACAUCGCGAGAUUCCUCUGCGAAUCCGCACUUUUCAGCAUUUCCCAGUCCCAUCUCCUUUCUUAUACAAAAGCUCACUCCAUCCAUUGAAACCCAAACAGCCUUUUCUUCUUUCUCCCUUCAUUGAAACCACCACUCGCCAACAUUUAUCACAAAACAACCCUUAGUGUGGGGGAUGUGGGUGGGAGCACACCCCCUCCCCCCCCCCCCCCCCCCCCCCCCCGGAGAAAUGAGAUGAGAGAAUGAGAGGAAAAAGCUCAAUGUCGAAGUUUGUUUGCAAUAAAUGGGCGGCAGAUGGGAAAAAAGCGGAGACAAGGAGGAUUGUGUAUUUUUUCUCAUUUCCAUCGCAAAAACACCCUCCUCCCCACAAUGUAGUCAUUCAAUUAAACCAAAAAUUCACCUCCCCGUGAAUUGUGUUGCCGAAAGAAGAGAAAAGGAUAAAAGGAGCGCCACAGAAGGGAACCCUCCUCCAUCCAAACCCAUAUAUACAGAAAAGAAUUCUCUGAGAAUGUAAUUUUGCUUUUGGUGGAGGCGACUCAGAGACGCAAUGUGGAGGUAGUAAAUGAAAGACUAAAGCUUUUCGAACCACCCUCUCCUCCAUCACCCCUGCACCCAAAUGGCAGACUGUGAGAGAAAGGAAGAAAAAAACAGAGAUUUGGGUUUUUGCGCAAAAAAAAAGCUCACAAUCGAGAUGAAUUGUGUUGUUUACAAUCCACUUGGUAUUUUCACGCGAAAAGCACUUUCCCGUGGAUGGGGGGUGAGGGUGGAAAAUGAAUGAGCAACUCAAUUCCAUGUUGAUAAAUUCCAUUUAAUUUGUUAAGUACUUGCCAACCCCCGCACCAACCCACAGUGACACAAUGUCGGGAUUUAUUUGUGUGUCGUCCAACACGGAAAAUUUCGGCACCAUCUGGAUGAGUCUUGGAAGAAGGAUUUCCGUGGGGUUAAAGCACCCUCCCCCACCCCCCGGGACCCCUCUCCGCACCCGUUCAAAAUGGAGCACUUAGCCUUUUUUGUGUGUGUGAAAAAUGGACGAAAAACGAGAGGGUUGAUGCCAAGACUUAUUGGAGUGUUUAUAUCCUGUAACUGGGAUAUUUUUGCACGUGAAGGAGCAAUUCAAGACGAAGUGAAUAAAAAGAGAUCAUUUUUCUCUUUGCACCCACCCCCUCGCUCCUCCAAAACACAUCCCCCAAUGCCAUGUUAUUUAUGACCCGGAAAACAAGGAUCUGUAAGGAUGGGGGACAGUACUCAAGUGGACUUGCUUGAAGGAGUUUCUCCGGUACUCUCGUCAAAUUCCUAAAGUACUCUGUAGAAUUUCAUGGGACAUUUUAGGAGAGAGACAGAGAAUAAUAUGGGAAAUGUUUUGCAGCAGGUAGCCAGAGCUAAAAGGGAAAACUAUGAUUUUCACCAUUUGAAGAAGCUUUCGGUUUGAGAGCAAACAUAAAACUCUCUUCUGUAAUAUUGAAAGUUGGUUGAUUUUGAUACACCGCACUAUAUGCUCAGAAAUGUUUGUGGUUAAGUGAUUCUUUGAUAAAUUCUAGACGUUAUUGCUGGAAUUCUUGAGAAAUAUCUGAAAUAGUAAAGGUUGUUUGUGGCAUUUUCUUAAUUUUAGAAUUAAACUACAAUAAUUAAAUUUAAUUAGGGAAGUUUAUUACUUUUCUUAAUGUGCAGGAUUUAUUGAAAUGUCACCUUAAAAGAUUCUAAAAAAUAAUGAAAAAAUAUUCAACAAUUAUUUUUAUAAUAAUUGAAUGACUAAAUACAAAGAAAAUAACAUUGGAAAUGUUUGCAAUUUUAAAGAAAAGUUUCAAGACAAUAGAUGGGGCACAAAUACCGAAUAUUUCCCAAAAGAUGGCGCUAAAAACACAUUUUUCCAUUACACUUUAAAUUAAAUUAGGAAAUUUUAUUAUUUUCCUUAUGUAAGAUGAAUUGAAAAUUUCACAUAAGAAUCCCCCAAGAAAAAACUGAAAUAAAUAUUCAAAAAUACAACAAUUCUUUUCAUAAGAUUUUCAGUAAUUAAUACACAAAAUUUUACAAAUAAAAAGAAAUAUUCUUACAUUUUAGACAAAAACGCAUUCAUAAAUUCCUUUUUACCACCAGAAAAUAUUUAAAAACUCUUCUAAUUUUCAAGAAUAACUGAAAGACAACAGAUUAUGUACAAUGAGCAAAAAUUUCUCAAAAGAUGGCGCUAAGAAAAAUUCCUCUUCUCCUUAACAGUGUUUAAGAGCUUUAUAAGAAAAAAUCCCUACAUUCCCUUUACGAUGACUGCAGAAUUUCUUUUCAAGAUUUGCUCUUGUCAUUUUAAGAUUUUGUGCUUCAUUCCCAUUAAAUUUAUGUGGUUGGCUGGCGGAAUGGGAUUUCUCUCGUCAAAUAGCAAGGAUAAGGCAAGACAAAAGGAAGCACCUACGCUGAAGGAACAUAAAUAAGGAUUCCCAUUGUUUUCCCUCACACACAGGCAGAAGAGGAAGAUGGAGCACUUCCCUUAAGGAACAGCGUCACUUCCUUUUGCGAAAAUUUAAUCCACAAGUACUAUGUGGCAAAGGAGAAGCAAAAAAAAAGAACACACAGUAGUGCCUUGGAGGGUUUAUUUAGAAUAUAAAUUGGGGAUAGGGCGAGGGUUGCCGUCCCCAGUGCCCCGGCAUUUCAAAAGCCCGGCUUUCAUGCGUUUUGAAGACUUUUUCCCCACGGAAAUGACGCCAGAGUGUGGGGGAUGGUGGUGGUUGGUUGGGAAAAAAUGUCGUUCAUCCCCUCACGCAAGAAAUUGCUUUUGGUGUCGCCAAGGAGAGUCGUCAACACCACUUGAUCCACUUCUUCGGCGAAGCAAUUCCCUUUUGCAAAGCUCCCCUUCUGUGAGUUUGAGACAUCGCAUCAGAAAACUAUGGAUUCCGCCACUGCUCUAAUUUGCAUAAAUUUUGAUUUCUUCCAGCAGAUAAAUUUCCCUCUGGCGCUACCCCCAAAAAGUACUACGCCGGUCUACCACGAAUUCCUCCGCGUUUCGGGGUUAUAGCGACAAAAACAACACCCAGUGUCUUUUUUUUUUUAUUUUACUGGCCCCACCCCAAUAAUGGGGCCCAGAGAAUAGAGACACAUUCAUUUUCGUUCACUGAUUUCAAUGUUAAUGAAAAAAAUGGAGUGUGAAAUUGGAUUUCUUUUUAUUACUUUUCUCUACUUCCCCCCUGCCUCGCGCCGUAGGAACUUUCUCUUCUCUGGUACAACAGUGAGAUGAAUGUGUGCACGUUGGAAUAAAUCCGGAGAAGUGGAAAAUUAUCUCUGUUUCAUCAUUUUCCAGCCAUGAGCUCUUUUGUCCGAGAUUUGCAUUAAAUCGCCAAGGGGUGUGUAAUUAUAUACAUACACAUAGCAUGUGAAAAUUAUUUAGAUUAUGCUUAUUCGCGGAAAACAUACAAAUGGAUUUUAUAAUUUAUUUCUUUUUCCCAAUUUAACUUUCAAAUGCCAGGAGUGUUGGAAAAUUUGCAGAGCGAGGUUAUUUUGAAAUAAAUUAUCAUUCGAUCCACCCCAUCUAUAUUCUGUGCGAGAAAAUUUUAUCUAACAAACAGAUAAAUCAUAGCAAUUACAUAAAAAGUUUAAAUGAAAAACUUCAAUGAAUUAUCUUCUCUUUUGUGGUGCAAAAUGUGAACCAAUAUAAAUGAAAUAAAAUUAGCUUGAAGAGUGGAAAAUGACAUAAUAUGUUGGGAAAUUUCUAUUUUACUUUUCAAUAAAUUUAUUAUUAGAAACUUUUGAGAGGAAUUUCGCGUGUGCUUGCAAACCCCUUGACAGUGGCUUUUGCUAUUUUUAUCCAUUAAAACUUUUCCGACUUUUCCCAUGUCGUUUGUUUGAGGAAAUCUCUGCUGUGGUUUGAUUUUAUUACAUUCCGCUCGAUUAUUGUGCACGAAGAUGUGUCUAUUCAUUGAAUUUCAUAUAAAUAUUUAUGUAUUAUGGAAGAUAUAGCAAAAAAUCUAUUAUUCACCCCUUGAAUAGUCUUGGAAUUUCCACUGAGGCUAGCAAACCUACACACAGAAAAAAAAUGACAAAAAGUGGCAGUCAAAUCGUCAAUUUUUGCGAGUGGGCCACUCGCAUAGACAAAAUACGAAUAUUUCACUCGCACUCAUUCGCACUAUUUCUCGAAAAUUUUCACAUUUAUUGGACCGAAAUUGAACAUUGAAUUCUAUAAAUACUGAUUUGCUCAAUCACUUACACCAAUUUAAAAGCAAUAUUUCUUCCAUAAAUAGCAUUAUUUGCCCAAAAUAGAUAAAUAAAAAUACAAUAUUAAUUGAUAAAAUUGACGAGAAGAAAGCAAAUGUUAUAGCAGAAAAAACAUUUAAAAGGUUUCUUUCACAAACACUAGCGCCGCGCGGAAAUUGGGCGGAAUUACCAAUUUUACACAUGAUUUUUAUUUUGUUAAUUUUUCAUCUGGAAAAACUAUUAAAACACCAAAAAUCAUUAUCUGAUCUCAUGUAAAGGUCCACAAAAAUAAAAUUUCUUCUCGAAAACAUAAAUUUUCGCAUAUUUUUUAAAGGAUGUCACAACCAUAGAAAAAAUAAUUUCUGCAACAGAAUUUCAUGACGAUAUGUCGUAGGAUAAUCCAUACUUUUUCUUUUUUCGUCAUUAAAUAAUUUCAUAAUGACUUUCAAAGUUUGAAUUAUUUUUUAUAAUUAAAAAAAAAAACAAAAGUUAAUUAAUAGACCCUUAAAUAAGGCUGUGUUACAAAAUCUUACGUCGCAGGGUUACUUUAAGAUAACUUGAACUACUUUAGAAAGGAUAUUUAAAAAAUAUCGUCAAAAACUAAUUUAACUUGAUAAUGUUUCAUAAGACAUUAAUUUAACUUUAUAAAAUAAAAUUUAAGUCAAUCGGACGAACAAUCCUAAACCGAAAUGUCCGAUCAUAAAUAUUAAAGCUUAUUAUAAGCUUAAUGGUAAAAUAUGAAAGUAUAUUAAUAUGGUUACGUUGAUCAAUUUUAGAUAAAAAUUUUUAAGCAAUUCAAAAAUGGCCGCCAUUUUAUCCGAACUUUUUUCCAACAAAUGUAAUGUAAAAUAAAUAUUUUAUUUUACAACCACGCUUUUUGGAUGAUGUUUCUCACAUUUCCCAUAACCAUAAACUUGUAUUUCACGCGAAUAUUAUUUUUUUUAUUUUAAUUAUUAAUUUAUUUGUUUUAAUUUAGGAAAAUAUAGAUCUUAUGAAACGUUAUAAAGCCCUAUUUUGUAGAAUCAAGGAUAUGAAUUUAAAAAAAAUCAAUAAUAGUUUGGUAUGCAAGAUGGCGGUCAAAAGAAUUUGAGGGCGAAAUCCCGACUGAAAAUCCUUUCUAAAGUAGCUCGUGUUAUUUUAAAGUAGCACUUUGCGACAUAAGAUUUCGUAAAACAGCUUAAUUUAAUUUUCUAUAAAUAAUUUUUGGUUUUUUUUUUGUAAUUAUAAAAAAAAUAUUUGCAAAAUUUUGUAAAUGAUUGGAUAUAUUAAGAAUUUAUUCAAUGACGAAAAGAGAAAAUGGUAUGGAUUAUCCUAUGACAUGUCGUCACGAAAUCUUUUUGCAGAAGUUAUGGGUCUAUUCACGUUUCUCAUGUCGAGAAAAAAUGAUCAUGACAUUUUUUCCUGACAUUUUUUUUGUCAUUCCCUCUCACUCCCACUAAUGUAUUUCCCUAUCUUUCGUCUUUCUCUGACCCAUGUUCACGACAUUCUUUUUCAAGCUCUUGUGAAGUGAACUUGUUUCUUAGUUUUCUUCAAUUUUCUCUGUGAAUUGUGAUAUUUUAUCUCGGGAAAAGUGAAAAGCUGCUUGUGGAAGUGUUCUUAGUGCCUGUGAAAGUGUGAAAAGUGGAAAAUCGUGGGUAUUUAUCGGCCAAAUAAGUGAAAACAGUGAAAUUUCGACAGCAAAACAUUCAUUCCCGGACCAAUUUAUUCCGCGUUCAGGUGGGAUUCCACCACCCAGGAAGCAUUUCCCUGACCCCACACAGACCUUCCGUGUUGCAGAUGACCUGUGGGAAGGUCCAAAAAACCUGCAGGAAGUGAUUUGUGUCGUGAAAAUACAGAAAAAUAUCUCGUAAAAAUUGGUCAGGGAAAGAAUGUUUUGAUUUUUCACUUCGCGCAUUUUCACAUAUUUGACCGCUAAAUGACCAUAAUUUUCCGCUUUUCACUGUUUCCCUGCCACUAUGGACUCCUUAGCUAAGCAUUUUCCACUUUUCUAUGAGGAAAAUAUCCCCAAAUGCUGAGAAAAUUCAUGAAAAACAUGUGCACAAGAAAAAAUGCAUGCCAUGAAAAAAAAUGUCGUGAUUAUGUGUCAGAAAAAGAUGAAAGAUAGUGAAAUACAUUAGUGGGAGUGAGAGGGAAUGACAAAAAUAAAUGUCAGGAAAAAAUGUCAUGAUCAUUUUUUCUUGACAUGAAAUUCCUGCAUAGCACCAUUAAUCUUUCAAUGGUGUAACAUCUUUUAUAAAAUGAUCCAAAAUCAUACGUGUAUGAUGAAAAUGCUUUUUUGUUGCAGGAAAACCAGAAAAAAAACGUGUAAAAACGUUUUCUGGACUGAAUAUCUCAUAUACCACGUCUCUAGAAAAUCGUGUCAGUGUUCUUUAGAUGAGGCAUUGCAGUAACGGCCAAAUUAAAAAUAAA